CCCUUUGGGUGUGACUGCGUACCUUUUGUAUAAUGGGUCAGCGACUUAUAUUCUGUAGCAAGGUUAACCGAAUAGGGGAGCCGGAGGGAAACCGAGUCUUAAUUGGGCGUUAAGUUGCAGGGUAUAGACCCGAAACCCGGUGAUCUAGCCAUGGGCAGGUUGAAGGUUGGGUAACACUAACUGGAGGACCGAACCGACUAAUGUUGAAAAAUUAGCGGAUGACCUGUGGCUGGGGGUGAAAGGCCAAUCAAACCGGGAGAUAGCUGGUUCUCCCCGAAAGCUAUUUAGGUAGCGCCUCGUGAAUUCAUCUCCGGGGGUAGAGCACUGUUUCGGCUAGGGGGCCAUCCCGGCUUACCAACCCGAUGCAAACUGCGAAUACCGGAGAAUGUUAUCACGGGAGACACACGGCGGGUGCUAACGUCCGUCGUGAAGAGGGAAACAACCCAGACCGCCAGCUAAGGUCCCAAAGUCAUGGUUAAGUGGGAAACGAUGUGGGAAGGCCCAGACAGCCAGGAUGUUGGCUUAGAAGCAGCCAUCAUUUAAAGAAAGCGUAAUAGCUCACUGGUCGAGUCGGCCUGCGCGGAAGAUGUAACGGGGCUAAACCAUGCACCGAAGCUGCGGCAGCGAACGUAUCACUUAAAGCGAUUCAGCGGGUUACGAUUGACGGAGCGAAGCGACGUCAAAGCGUAUACAAAGUCGAGUCGGUUUAAGGAUACGUUCGUUGGGUAGGGGAGCGUUCUGUAAGCCUG
rnacentral:rRNA from 2 species